GGUUUAAUUCGAUGAUACGCGAGGAACCUUACCCGGGCUUGAAUUGCAGAGGAAGGAUUUGGAGACAAUGACGCCCUUCGGGUCGUCUGUGAAGGUGCUGCAUGGUUGUCGUCAGCUCGUGCCGUGAGGUGUCGGCUUAAGUGCCAUAACGAGCGCAACCCCUCUCCUUAGUUGCCAUCAGGUCAUGCUGGGCACUCUGGGGACACUGCCACCGUAAGGUGUGA
rnacentral:rRNA from 1 species